UAAAAUUGAUCUUGUCCCUCGAGAGGCUGUUGAGAAGUGGCUUAAUUAUCUGAGAGAAGAAUUGCCUGCUGUUGCCUUUAAGUGUAGCACGCAAGAACAAAGGUCCAACUUAGGUUGGAAAUCUUCAAAGACAUCUAAAACGAAAACGAGCAAUUUAUUGCAGAGAAGUGACUGCCUUGGAGCUGAAACUCUAAUUAAACUGUUGAAGAAUUACUCAAGAAGUUAUGAGAUUAAAAAAUCAAUAACCGUGGGUGUUAUUGGCUUGCCUAACGUUGGCAAAAGCAGUCUUAUCAAUAGUCUGAAGAGAUCCCACGUUGUCAAUGUUGGUGCUACACCAGGACUAACAAGAUCGAUGCAAGAGGUCCAUUUAGACAAGAACGUCAAAUUGUUGGAUUGCCCAGGUGUUGUAAUGGUAAGAUCUAAAGAAAAUGAGCCAUCUAUAGCUUUGCGGAAUUGCAAACGAAUUGAGAAGUUGGAAGAUCCUGUUGCUCCUGUUAAGGAGAUCUUGAAGCUUUGCCCCUCCAAAACCUUGGUAACUCUAUAUAAGCUUUCAAGCUUCGAUACGGUCGAUGAUUUUCUGCAGAAGGUAGCUCUCAUUCGGGGCAAACUUAAAAAGGGGGGAAUUGUGGAUAUUGGAGCUGCUGCUAGAAUUGUUCUACAUGACUGGAACGAAGGUAAAAUUCCAUAUUAUACAAUGCCCCCUGUUAGGAGUCAGGUAGAACCUUCAGAGGCAAGGAUCGUCACAGAGCUCGGGAAAGAGUUCAACAUUGACGAAGUUUAUGGCGAUGAAUCUUCAUUCAUUGGAAGCCUCAAAUCCGUCAAUGAUUUCAAUCCUGUUGAAGUUCCCCCAAGUUGUCCACUGAAUUUUGAUGAGAACAUGCAAGAGCCAAAUAAUGGGAAUGCUGAGCCAUCCACACAAGACAACGAAGUCCUGGAGAAUGCAACGGAUAAUAGUGAGGACGAGUCGAUGGAGCAGGAGGAAGAAGAUGAUGAAACGAGCAAAGGGAUGGGACAAGAUGCAACUAGCAGGCAAAACGAGAAGCUGUAUUCAGCAGAAGGUAUCCUGAAUACAAAAAUGAGGAGAGCAGAGAAGAAAAGGAGAAAGAAGGCAAACAAUAAUAGCAAGUCAUCAGUGUCUACGGAUGCUAUGGAAG
rnacentral:misc_RNA from 1 species